GCACAACGCGAAGAACCUUACCUACUCUUGACAUCCAGAGAACUUAGCAGAGAUGCUUUGGUGCCUUCGGGAACUCUGAGACAGGUGCUGCAUGGCUGUCGUCAGCUCGUGUUGUGAAAUGUUGGGUUAAGCCCCGUAACGAGCGCAACCCUUGUCCUUAGUUACCAGCACGUUAUGGUGGGCACUCUAAGGAGACUGCCGGUGACAAACCGGAGGAAGGUGGGGAUGACGUCAAGUCAUCAUGGCCCUUACGGCCUGGGCUACACACGUGCUACAAUGGUCGGUACAGAGGGUUGCCAAGCCGCGAGGUGGAGCUAAUCUCACAAAACCGAUCGUAGUCCGGAUCGCAGUCUGCAACUCGACUGCGUGAAGUCGGAAUCGCUAGUAAUCGCGAAUCAGAAUGUCGCGGUGAAUACGUUCCCGGGUCUUGUACACACCG
rnacentral:rRNA from 1 species